rnacentral:rRNA from 1 species
AUCUAUGGCCAUGCUACCCUGAACAAACCCAAUCCCAUCUAAUCUCGGAAGCAACACAAGGUCAGGCCUGGUUAGUACUUGAAUGGGAGACCACUUAGGAAGACCAGGUGCUGUAGGAG